rnacentral:rRNA from 1 species
UACGUAGGCAGCAAGCGUUGUUCGGAAUCACUGGGCGUAAAGCGUGUGUAGGCGGUCUUAUAAGUCGGAUGUGAAAGCCCCGGGCUCAACCCGGGAAGUGCACCCGAUACUGUAGGACUAGAGUACUGGAGAGGUUGGUGGAAUUCUCGGUGUAGAGGUGAAAUUCGUAGAUAUCGAGAGGAACACCGGUGGCGAAGGCGGCCAACUGGACAGAUACUGACGCUGAGACACGAAAGCGUGGGGAGCAAACAGG